GGGUUGUGAGGUUAAGCGACUAAGCGUACACGGUGGAUGCCCUGGCAGUCAGAGGCGAUGAAGGGCGUGCUAAUCUGCGAUAAGCGCCGGUAAGGUGAUAUGAACCGUUAUAACCGGCGAUACCCGAAUGGGGAAACCCAGUGUGACUCGUCACACUAUCAUUAACUGAAUCCAUAGGUUAAUGAGGCGAACCGGGGGAACUGAAACAUCUAAGUACCCCGAGGAAAAGAAAUCAACCGAGAUUCCCCCAGUAGCGGCGAGCGAACGGGGAGGAGCCCAGAGCCUGAAUCAGCAUGUGUGUUAGUGGAAGCGUCUGGAAAGGCGCGCGAUACAGGGUGACAGCCCCGUACACAAAAGCGCAUGUGCUGUGAGCUCGAUGAGUAGGGCGGGACACGUGGUAUCCUGUCUGAAUAUGGGGGGACCAUCCUCCAAGGCUAAAUACUCCUGACUGACCGAUAGUGAACCAGUACCGUGAGGGAAAGGCGAAAAGAACCCCGGCGAGGGGAGUGAAAAAGAACCUGAAACCGUGUACGUACAAGCAGUGGGAGCCCCACCACCAAAGCAUUUGCUGUACCGCGUUGACGGAGCGAAGCGACGUCAAACCGAUAAAACAGCAGUGUAAAGUGAGCCGCAGGGCGCUUUGCGCGACAGCGCAAAGGCAGGCGGUUUCGCGUAGCGAAAGCGAAUGCUUUGGGGUGGGGUGACUGCGUACCUUUUGUAUAAUGGGUCAGCGACUUAUAUUCUGUAGCAAGGUUAACCGUAUAGGGGAGCCGGAGGGAAACCGAGUCUUAAUUGGGCGUUAAGUUGCAGGGUAUAGACCCGAAACCCGGUGAUCUAGCCAUGGGCAGGUUGAAGGUUGGGUAACACUAACUGGAGGACCGAACCGACUAAUGUUGAAAAAUUAGCGGAUGACCUGUGGCUGGGGGUGAAAGGCCAAUCAAACCGGGAGAUAGCUGGUUCUCCCCGAAAGCUAUUUAGGUAGCGCCUCGUGAAUUCAUCUCCGGGGGUAGAGCACUGUUUCGGCUAGGGGGCCAUCCCGGCUUACCAACCCGAUGCAAACUGCGAAUACCGGAGAAUGUUAUCACGGGAGACACACGGCGGGUGCUAACGUCCGUCGUGAAGAGGGAAACAACCCAGACCGCCAGCUAAGGUCCCAAAGUCAUGGUUAAGUGGGAAACGAUGUGGGAAGGCCCAGACAGCCAGGAUGUUGGCUUAGAAGCAGCCAUCAUUUAAAGAAAGCGUAAUAGCUCACUGGUCGAGUCGGCCUGCGCGGAAGAUGUAACGGGGCUAAACCAUGCACCGAAGCUGCGGCAGCGAACGUAUCACUUAAAGCGAUUCAGCGCGUUACGAUUGACGGAGCGAAGCGACGUCAAAGCGUAUACAAAGUCGAGUCGGUUUAAGGAUACGUUUGUUGGGUAGGGGAGCGUUCUGUAAGCCUGCGAAGGUGGCCUGUGAGGGUUGCUGGAGGUAUCAGAAGUGCGAAUGCUGACAUAAGUAACGAUAAAGCGGGUGAAAAGCCCGCUCGCCGGAAGACCAAGGGUUCCUGUCCAACGUUAAUCGGGGCAGGGUGAGUCGACCCCUAAGGCGAGGCCGAAAGGCGUAGUCGAUGGGAAACAGGUUAAUAUUCCUGUACUUGGUGUUACUGCGAAGGGGGGACGGAGAAGGCUAUGUUGGCCGGGCGACGGUUGUCCCGGUUUAAGCGUGUAGGUGUGUGUUCCAGGUAAAUCCGGUUCACUUUAACACUGAGGCGUGACGACGAGGCACUACGGUGCUGAAGCAACAAAUGCCCUGCUUCCAGGAAAAGCCUCUAAGCAUCAGGUAACAUCAAAUCGUACCCCAAACCGACACAGGUGGUCAGGUAGAGAAUACCAAGGCGCUUGAGAGAACUCGGGUGAAGGAACUAGGCAAAAUGGUGCCGUAACUUCGGGAGAAGGCACGCUGACAUGUAGGUGAAGUGAUUUACUCAUGGAGCUGAAGUCAGUCGAAGAUACCAGCUGGCUGCAACUGUUUAUUAAAAACACAGCACUGUGCAAACACGAAAGUGGACGUAUACGGUGUGACGCCUGCCCGGUGCCGGAAGGUUAAUUGAUGGGGUCAGCGCAAGCGAAGCUCCUGAUCGAAGCCCCGGUAAACGGCGGCCGUAACUAUAACGGUCCUAAGGUAGCGAAAUUCCUUGUCGGGUAAGUUCCGACCUGCACGAAUGGCGUAAUGAUGGCCAGGCUGUCUCCACCCGAGACUCAGUGAAAUUGAACUCGCUGUGAAGAUGCAGUGUACCCGCGGCAAGACGGAAAGACCCCGUGAACCUUUACUAUAGCUUGACACUGAACAUUGAGCCUUGAUGUGUAGGAUAGGUGGGAGGCUUUGAAGCGUGGACGCCAGUCUGCGUGGAGCCGACCUUGAAAUACCACCCUUUAAUGUUUGAUGUUCUAACGUGGACCCGU
rnacentral:rRNA from 1 species